rnacentral:rRNA from 1 species
GAGUUUGAUCGUGGCUCAGAGCGAACGCUGGCGGCAGGCUUAACACAUGCAAGUCGAGCGGGCCCUUCGGGGUCAGCGGCGGACGGGUGAGUAACGCGUGGGAACGUGCCUUCUGGUUCGGAAUAACCCUGGGAAACUAGGGCUAAUACCGGAUACGCCCUUUUGGGGAAAGGUUUACUGCCGGAAGAUCGGCCCGCGUCUGAUUAGCUAGUUGGUGGGGUAAUGGCCUACCAAGGCGACGAUCAGUAGCUGGUCUGAGAGGAUGAUCAGCCACACUGGGACUGAGACACGGCCCAGACUCCUACGGGAGGCAGCAGUGGGGAAUAUUGGACAAUGGGCGCAAGCCUGAUCCAGCCAUGCCGCGUGAGUGAUGAAGGCCUUAGGGUUGUAAAGCUCUUUUAUCCGGGACGAUAAUGACGGUACCGGAGGAAUAAAGCCCCGGCUAACUUCGUGCCAGCCGCCGCGGUAAU